GGCAAGGCCGCGUGAACACGCAGUGAGGAGGAGGCUGUUUCCGAGCCGGGGAGAGGGGCCUCCCGGGGAGCCGGCCCUGGCUCGCCCGCCCGGACUGGGACCUUCAGAAUGCUGAGAAAAGAGAGGGAGAGGAAGAGCGAGAGAGAAAAAUUAAUUUGAUGUUCCACUUAUUUAUGCAUUUGUUGGCUGAUUCUCCUAUGUGUCCUGACCGGGGAUCAAACCAGCAACCCUGGCACAUGUGGCCGGCACUGAACAACCGAACUACCCCGCCUGGCUUCCGUGAAGGUAUUAUCUCGAACUGGCAGUUGCUGGGAGCCAGUCCAGAAUGCGCUGGCAGUUCUGGUUCUGUUCCUCAUGACUCAGAGGGUAUGUCACAAACACCCAUGUUAUGUGCCACCUUUCUCGAAGAGGUGAAGAGGAGAGGCACUCCUUGGUGACCAGCUAGCUUUCAACCCCCUCCAGCCGAGGCGUGCGUGGCGGUGGUUGUCCUGUGCUUUCCAGCUCCAGAAACUGUAUGAUUGUGCUGCCGCGGCUUCAGAGGAAACCCCUGCUUGCAAACCUGGUCGCUGCUGACUCCACCCCGUCCAGACGACGUCUUCAGCCCCGGGUCGCACUGGGACGCAUCGCACGCACGGACCAGAGGAGUGCUGGACAAGAGGUUGGGCUGACCUCGUGAUUCCAGCUUGGAACGUCUGUCAUUGUGAGAGCCUAUGGAACUGGAGCAAUAGGUUAAAAAGACCGGGUGCGGCAUCUUCCCACGGACGGAAUCGAUAGGAUGUGCCAGGCGAGCUAAAACCGGUUUGAGAAGAGAGAAGAUGAGUGCGCUGCUAGCCGGCGGGUGUGGACUCUUUGGGCCACUGUGGCCUUUCGAUGACAUCCCCAAGGCAGUCAUGAGGUAAGAGAGGAUU